UGCAGGUUGGGGAGGUCCCUUGCCUUCCUCAAGUCACAGAACACAUUAGUGGUACACCCAGGCAUCAUGUCGUCAUUGGUCUAACGCUUCAGCUGGUGCUUGGGCCUUCCAUGACCUUCUCCACUCUUCUUGUGAACCCCGAUGACACCAUUGCAUGUCCCCUGUGAGGCCAUCUGGUUGUCAGAGAGGAUGAUCCAGGCUAGAGAGGACUCGCAGGCAGGACCACAGGACGCUCCGGAACGGGCUCCUCUGCGGAGGCUUCCUCCCAUCCCCAGCCUCCCGCCACACCUCUGCACACAUUGGAAUCGGCCUUGUCUGCUCCGCUGUGGCCUGGGUCAGGUCAGCUUCUGGAACGGUGUGAAAGAACAGAGAGGGUGAUGUAUUCCGGGCGACUCCCAGCCAGGCCCUAGGAAGGCUGGUCCCUGGGUCCUCGCCCCAUCAGGUGUUCUCUCCUUGGUCUCAUUCUUGGGCCUUGUUCCUGUCCCCCGUCACUCCUAGGUCCACCGGAGCCCACACCUGCUUCUUUCCCUGCCCACCGCCCCUUGAGGGCUCCUGCCCCAGGCCUCUGAGACCCCAGAGAGGAACGAGGACGAUGGAGAGGGCCGUACUGGGAGCAGGGGGGUGACGGGGGAGGAGGGGCCAGGACUCUGAGCAGAGGGGAAGCAGAGAGGAGGAGGCUGCCUGCAGCCACAGCACAGGAGCCAGGAGCAGACUCUGCAGAAGGGAGACCAAUGGCGCAUGCAGGUGGCCCCAGCAACAGCUGCCAGCACCAGUGUGGGCCCAGCCCCUGUGACAGAGCGCUGCUGGUGGCCCGCCUACUCCAGCCCCACCUGCCAUGGGCUGUGGGCCAAGGCAGGGCUGGCUAUAUGCUAUUGAGUAUCAGGUGGGAGGAAGGGAGUCUGAGGCAGGGGCCAUCGGGGGCACUUCCAGCUUUGGGCUCCUGACUGAGACUCUGGGUGCCCCCGGAUGACCUCUCCAGGUAAGCCUGGGCACAUGUGGCACAAAUUGCCUCUAAACUCUGCCAGCUCAGAACUUUCUGGGCCAGAAUGCGAUGGGCGUCAACCCCUGAGAGAAGGUGGCGGGGAGAAACUUCCCCCGCCCUCCAUCCCGUCUCUCCGCUUCCCUUCAAGUGGGGGCAGUGGCCAUGGCUCCCUGCAGUGCCACAGUGCGGCUGGGCAUCUGUUUGCAGCUCUGGAGAAAGGGGAGACACAGGAUAGUGGGGGUGGCCUGGCCUCAGCCCCACCCAGGGGCCUCUAAGAGUUGAGCUUGGGCUGCAUUCUCAGCUGCACUCUGCUGGACUGCAUUCUCAGCUGCACCAGAAGGCAGACACCAAAGCGAUCCGAGCUCUCCCCUGUGCUGGGGCCGCCUCCUCCCUCGCUGGCCGGGUGUAUGUUAGUUUCCUCGGGCUCCGCCAAGCACCACACACAGAGUGGCUUUCACAGCAGACGUCUAUUGUCUGGCAGCGAUGGAGGCUGGAAGUCUGAAAUCAAGGUGUGGGCAGGGCUGUGCUCCCUCCAGACGCCAGGGGAGGAUCCCUCUGCCUCUUCCAGCUUCCAUCAGCACCUGCUGCCCCUGCGUGCCGGUGCCUCUACCCUUGCCCUGGCCCCUACCACUCUUCAGUUCCCUGCCCACCCUUUUGUCUUCUUGACCAGACGUGGAGCUCCCUGAGGGCAGGGACUGGGGCUUAUUAUAUCUCCUCAAGCUCGGCCUGGUACUGCAGCCCAGGAGGGUCUGUUGGAUGAGCGGGUGAUGGAUUUGGUGAGAGAUGGGGAGUGACAGGCUCAGAGGUGCAGGCAUGGGGGUGGCCAGGGUGCACUCUGGGACAUUUCUGGAGGUUGAGGGUUAGCACCGGGACUUAGGCUGCACCAAAGUGCAGGAGGCCCAGAAGGAGACAGGGUACUCCGAGCAGGGGCAGCUCUACCAAGGUGAGCAGCAGAGAGGCCGUUCUGAGGCUGGCGCUGAGCUGGGGCUCAGGGCGGGGAGGUGGGAAGGCAGGAGAUACAGCUUGUGAAGGGUGGGCUGGGUGUGGAGUGGGGCACGGGAGCUGGGAACAGCUCAGUCACUCCAGUGGCUUGCACAUGUGGCACCAGGGAAGAGGGGCCUGCUGGCUUGUGUGGACAAGGAGGAGGGGCCUGUGGUUCUGCGGGCGGGAGCAGGGAGUACACGGGGAGCCACUCUCCCUCCUUCCCUCCCUCCUCUCACUGAUUACCCUCAGCUGCGGGUCAAUCUCACUGUAAAAGACGGCCCUGCCCCCUCCAUGGCCUGGGGAGGCUGAGGGGUUUCAUAAAAGGGUCUGCUCAUUUGUGACUUUAAUCCUCAGCUGUGAUUUUAUCUCCGCGCGAGAAAGCUCUUUCUGUUCAUCGAUCCCACGCAGGCAUUAGCUGGAGAGCCUCAGCUAUUAGCUCCUGAUGGCACCAAAGUUAUCCAUUGACCCUGGCUCUUGGCCACAGCACAGGGGCUGGGGGCUGCGAGACAAGUGUGGGCUGCACUGGUGGUUCCGAGAGCUGGCGAUCCUUCAUAUUCAGGAACACUGCAAGCUGCGACCAACGCUGACUGCCUGGAAUCAGCCAGCGUGGGAACCUGGACACUGCAGAAACUAGCAAACCACACAGCUGAGUGCCGCCCUUCUCCUUCCCAGAGGAGCAGCUUCCCAGCCCCGCACCGUGUUUACCCUGCGUGGUCACUGGGUUGCCGCUGGCAGACAAGGCCCUGCCUCCCCUUUGAGCACACAAGCCAUCGAGGCUCUCUUCUCAGGAGCCCCAAAUGGUCUCCCGCCACUAUGGAUCCCUGGACUUCUCUCCUGGAAGCUCCAGGGUGGCGGCUGCCUGGCCUUCAGAGACACCCACUGCCUCAGACCAGGCAGCCUGACUUGGAGACCCUUCCCCAUAGGAGCCGGGUUCCCCUUCAGCCUGCACAGCCCACCCUUCAGGCCUAGUGGGAAGCCCACCCUCUUUGGGGAAGUCCCCAGCAGCCUGGCAGGAGGCGUCUCUCCUCCCCGGGGCUCUUUCCUCGGGCUGUCCUGGGGCUCAGCUUUGUCUCUCACCUGGUGGUGUGGGCCUCGAGGGCCGGGCCUGUUGUGGGCCAGACCCUACCUGUUGGAGAUGCAGCCACCAUGGUGCUCAAACAACUGACCUCGUGCUGCCUUCAUGUGGAGGGACAAAGACCUGGGGGCAGACGACUAACUGGACCAGCAUCUUUUAUGCAGAAAACGCAUCCCUCUCGCCAUUCCUAUUUGACCAAAGAUAUCCCGGAAGGGGGUCGUAGAGGCCAGCUGAAUCCCUGUCCAAAGCAGGGCAUCAGAAAGGGCACUUGGCCUCCCAGUACGAGAGGUAGGGUGGCUGCAGCCAGCACAGUGGCUACAGGAGGUUGGAGCCACUCCGGAUCACACUGGCCACAGCCUGACCUGUUCAUUGCCCGGGCCCUGAGCACCUGGCCUGGUGCUGAACUCCUUUGGGAACUUCAGGUCUGAUGGAGAGGUGCUCCGUCCACUCUGCCCAGUGUCUGCCCUCUGCCCAGACGCCCCAAAAGUAGAAACAGAGAGAAGGCGAACUUUGGCUUCGGGGGCCCAGCGCCACCACUUCCAACCUACGUGGCGUUGGUCAAGUGGCCUGGCUUUGCCGAGCCGCUGCCUCACGUCGCCCAUGGGGAUGAUGGAGCCGCCCUCCAGGAAGCUCCAGGGAUUCAUGAGACCAGGCGUGCAAGAGCUGCAGGUCUCAGCAACUCAUCACUAGGUGCUGGUGCCUGCUCACAAGGGACAGCUGCCCACCCAGCUCUGGGCCAAGGCUGGGGGCUCCCGCCCAAGCCCUGGGCAGCUGUUGAUACAUCGCUGACCGCAGGCAAGCCUCCCUGCCAGCCCUGCUGGCCUGCGCGGGACCAGGGAAGAGGGCGAGGCCUAUAUUUAUCUGCAGUGUGAGGAGGCUUGUCUGGCAGUCAGAUGCAAAUGCCUUCAUCCCAUCUGGGCUGGGAGCUGCUCUCAGCGGACAAGUCUUUUCUGCCUGCUCCACACCAGCCUGGUGCCAGUGACAGGAGUGGCGGGAGCUUCACGGUGCCUGGAGGCUCGUUCCUGGGUUGCGAAAGUGCCUGAGUGACAGAGGCUGAGGCUGAGCUUAGGCGAGUUUGCUGAGGCUUAGGAGGAAGCCGGAUCAGAAGAGGCCGCAGAAGCCAUACUGCCCAUACAUCCCUCCCCCAGCGGUGGCCCACAGGUGCCUGGCCUCAGCUCAGCUAUACUGGAGGGGAGGUAGCCAGCGCCCUGCCGGUGUCUCGGUUCUAAGACCUCAUUUGUACAGUGGAGAACAGGAGGCAGCCACCCAGUGACCUUCAAAGCCUCCAAGAGAAGCAAAGGGACAGGUGUAAGGAAGUAAGCCCUGACCCUGGGGACUCACCAAGCCCUGAUGAAGUUACAAGCUGGGCCCUGACCCUGGGCACACACUAAGCUCUGACCCUGGUCUCAGGCUGAGCCCUGACCCUGCUCACACGCUGAGCCCUGACCUUGGUCACGUGCUGAGCCCUGAUUCUGGUCACAAAUGGAGCCCUGACCCUGCUCACACAAUGAACCCUGAUCCUGGUCACACACUGAGCCCUGAUCCUGAUCCCACACUGAGCCCUGAUCCUAGUCACACACUGAGCCCUGAUCCUGGUCACACACUAAGCUCUGACCCUGGUCUCAGGCUGAGCCCUGACCUUGGUCACGUGCUGAGCCCUGAUUCUGGUCACAGAUGGAGCCCUGACCCUGCUCACACAAUGAACCCUGAUCCUGGUCCCACAAUGAGCCCUAAUUUUGGUCACACACUGAGCCCUGACCCUGGUCCCACACUGAGCCCUGACCCUGGUCACACAUUGAGCCCUGAUCCUGGUCCCACACUGAGCUCUGACCCUGGUCCUCAAUCAGCUGAGCCUCGACCCUGAUCCCUGAUUGGCUAUGUUCUGUUCCAGUGUGGAAGGGAGAGGCCAGGGCAUGAGGUGGGAUGGGCUAGGGCAGCCCCUCUGCACAUCUGGGACUCAGGUCAGAACACAAUCCUCCCUACAUGAGAGAAUAAAUUCCUGCACGUGGCGUUUCUUCAAGUAGCUGGGCUUGAAGCCUGCACUGGGCUUGCCCUCCAGUGACAGCAGCAGGUUUCAAGGAGACAGCCAUGAGACCGUCCCUCAGGCUGGGGACUUGAUCAUGCUCACCUCAGAGCCUCACCUCCUGGAGAGUGAGCAAAGUGAGGGUCAUCAACCCACUUUACAGAUGAGGAAAUGGACGCCCAGGAAGUGGCCUCGAGAUCUCGCCCAGAGAAUAGCUGGUCCUGAAGACUCUGUAUCUGAGCCACACACUGCUCUGCCCACACCCCCAGGGGUCUCAGCACCCCCAGCGCAUUUUUCCCUGCUCCUGGCCUGCACUGUGAGCUCCCACUGGCAGUUCCUAGCAAGCACAUGUUGGCUGUGCCAGGCCCCAAGUGCCUCAUGAGCUAAAGAGGGUGUCCUGCUAUUCCGGGGCUCACUGCCCAGCCUCUGCAUGAGUAGCCUUGCUCUGUGCCUGUCCUGGCCCAGCAUUGCAUGUCCAGAGAGGAGACGGAGUUCGCCUUCUCUGUGCUGUGGGACUGACUGUGUCGGGGUGGGGUGGGGGGAAGCAAAAACCAAAUCCUUCGUUUCCCCGACUGCCUGACCUUGCCUCUCUCCAAACCUCAUGACGUCCAGCUCGAGGGAAGUGAAAGUCACUCCGAUAUCUGGAAAUACAGUUGAUGAGGCAAUUAAAUCCCCUGUCCCUUCUCCUUCCGGGGGGUCCUCUAGGGUCCUGGGAGUCCAGCCAACAGGAAUCCGUUUUAUGAUCCUGAGUCCCUGCCAGCAGGAAGGCUGGGCGAGGCCGGUCCCUAUGUGCCCACGACGCUCUCACAUAAAUAUGCAUCACUUAAAAUUUAAUA